UACAUGGGGUGCAAACGUUGCUCGGAAUUAUUGGGCGUAAAGCGCACGUAGGCGGUUCGUUAAGUCGGAUGUGAAAGCCCUCGGCUCAACUGAGGAAGUGCACCCGAAACUGGCGAGCUUGAGUACGAAAGAGGAUCGCGGAAUUCCCGGUGUAGAGGUGAAAUUCGUAGAUAUCAGGAGGAACACCGGUGGCGAAGGCGGUUCUCUGGGCAUUACCUGACGCUGAGGAGCGAAAGUGUGGGGAGCGAACAGG
rnacentral:rRNA from 1 species